rnacentral:rRNA from 1 species
GAUGAACGCUAGCGGCAGGCUUAAUACAUGCAAGUCGAGGGGCAGCAGGACUGUAGCAAUACAGUUGCUGGCGACCGGCAAACGGGUGCGGAACACGUACGCAACUUACCCUUGUCUGGGGCAUAGCCCACCGAAAGGUGGAUUAACUCCCCAUAAGAUAGUGGUGUGGCAUCACACAGCUAUUAAAACUGAGGUGGACAAGGAUGGGCGUGCGGCUGAUUAGGUAGUUGGUGUGGGUAACGGCCCACCAAGCCUGCGAUCAGUAACUGGUGUGAGAGCACGACCAGCCACACGGGCACUGAGACACGGGCCCGACUCCUACGGGAGGCAGCAGUAAGGAAUAUUGGUCAAUGGAGGCAACUCUGAACCAGCCAUGCCGCGUGGAGGAUGAAGGCCCUCUGGGUUGUAAACUUCUUUUACAGGGGACGAAACACUUCUAUUCUUAGGAGCUUGACGGUACCCUGGGAAUAAGCACCGGCUAACUCCGUGCCAGCCGCCGCCGUAAUAC